UGAUCCAGACCUUUAGAUACAUUCUAACAGAUAUAAGUCACUGCCCUUGUUGCCAUGAAACUAGUUCCAGAGACAAGACAUAUAUAUAAAAAUCCAAACAAAAAAUGUUGUUGUGCUUGCAGCAUGUAAGACAUCAUGGUAAGCCUUGUAGAGGAUACAUAAAGGAGACCAACAUGGUCACUACAAUUACAGUUUUAUAGUCUAAUAAAAAGGUAAAUAUGAAGACUGUGUUGACUACGUUUACGUAAGAGCCGGGUACAUGGAAGUAAGUGUAAGGCCAGGUCUGAAAUGACAGAAUUAUGAACUGCUAGGGAACUACAAUAGCACUUAGUACAAUAGCAAACAGUACUUAAACACGGGGUUAAUCAUUUCAAGCAAAUAUUUCCUUCAGGAAAAGGAAAGUCCUGCCAAUAACAACAAGAGACCUGAAAAGAUUGCCCAUUUAGUUAAGCAGUAAUGGAAGCCCAUGCUGUUGACUUUUCACUUCAGUCACACCCAUAUCACAAAAAAUGACACCUGAGCACAAAGUGUGUGUGUGUGGGUGUGUGUGUGUGUUUGAGUAUUCUUAAAAGCUGACAGUCUUCCUUAAAUACUUCCAUUCCUAUUCUCACUAUUCAAAAGAGCUUUUCUUAACCUCUCAUUUAAAGACAUAGAAAGUUCCCUUGUGGAGCAGCAGGUUAAAGAUCCCAUGUUGCCACAGCUGUAGCGCAGGUCACAACUGUGGCAUGGGUUCUAUCCCUGGCUCAGGAACUUCCACAUGCCACAGGUGCAGCCAAGAAAUAAGAAUAAAAACAAAGACAUAUGUGUCAGUUACGGCAUGUUUGCUCCCAUUUAAUUUCUUCCUUUUUUCUAGAAUGGAAACAAAAAUUUACCUUGAAGAUUCACAAAUUAGUUUUCCUUGCCACUUCUCUCCUUCCACCAGGAAACUAUCUUUGUGUUAGUGAACAAAGUAUAAAUAUAAAAUGUCAAUGGAAUGCAAAUGGAUUAUUUGAAAAUAAAAAAUUCAGUCUAAGUAAACCAUAAGUUCUAAACAGAAACUGUGCUCUCCCACAUGUUUUAUGCUGUCCUAGUAUCAACAUACACUAAAUAAAGAGUGGAAACUUUGUCAACGUGAUUUUAUGUUAGAAAUUAUAAUUGAGUAGUUGAAAAAACUGCUUCUGAAAUAUGUCUAAAAGAAUUGGUUUAACCAUAGGAUCUCUAGAGACUUCAAGUUUAUCUGUUCAAGAAAGUCAAUACUCAGAAAUCAGAAACAAUGAGUGUGGUAAUGGAGAAUCAUGAAAAUUUGAAAGAAGUGAAAUUAUUUCAUAUAUUACAUGACUGAAAAAAGUCAGCAAAUUGACUUAAAUACAUCUAUGCAUGGAAAAGGUAAAGGGAAUAAGGACUCAUAUACCUGCCAUAGAAACUAAAAAGAAGUUCAAGAACUGUACUGUGAUCCCGAGUGGCUUAUGUGGCGAUCUGACACUAUGUCCAUGAAUCUUCACACGGUCAUUUCAUCUCUUCUUUGUCAUGGUCAGGUUGACCAUUUUACACUUUUUAAACUAUUUUUAUUCUUAGAAAUAUACUUACAUUCCUGAUAGGUUGUAAAUGAAAAAAAAAAGGAAACAUCGAUGUUGAAAUGCAACCUCUUGUUAUAGACAUUUUGAUAUUUUUGCAAAUUUACUUAAGAUCAUUCGUUUACCAACAAAUACAGAGUGAAUGACUUCUAUAUAUCAGCUAUUAUGUUAAAUGUUGGGUCUAAAAUGAGCAAAACAGACAAGAUUCCUACCCACAUGGAAUUUAUAGUUUAUUUGGUAGUUAAAUAAAUAUAGGAAUAAAUAUAUGGUUAUAUUAUGAUCACUAUGAGGUACGAUAAGCACAUAACUGAAAUUGGAGGUCAAGUAAGAUAUCUCUGAAAAAUUAAAUAUUUAAGAUGAUAUGAGAUUGAUGGAAAUUGGGAGCAUUCCAGAAAAAGGAAAUGGAAAAGAGAUUGGUACGAUGGGAAAACAAAACAAUGAGAGUGUGGUAUCCAGAGGAAACCUGCAGUUAGAGAGUUAGAAAGUGAAAGACCCCUCUUGUCUGUAGUAAGUAACUGAACUUUCAUCCUAAGUGUAGUUGGAACCAUUAAGCAAUGGAAUAAAGUGAUUUGCAUUUUCAAUGAUUAUUACAACUUCUAUAUAGAAAUGGCUAACGAGGGAGUGAGGAUAGAGGUAGAAAUGUCACAUGGGAGGCUACUGCUAUAUUCCAGGGAAGAAUUUACUUUGGUUAGGGCUAUAGGCAAGACUACAGAGCGACUUGGAAUAUGAUGGGGUCAAUGGAGAUGGAGAGAACUGGAUAUAUUUGACAACGUUUUGGUAGUGGACUGGACAGGAUUUAAUGAUGGACUUUUCAAAUGGAGGAUGGAAAAAAAAUGAAAAAAGGUAAAGUUUGCCUUUUGCUAUAGGUCCAAUUCCUAGAAUAAUACCUGUCACAAAAUACUUUUAAAGUAUUUCCUGAAUGAAUGAAGUUCUUGUCCUAUAUAAUUAAAUCAACGUAAAUGUCAUUGAAUACAAUGAGAUAAACUUGAGGAGUUGGUUUUUGACAGAGUUAGAUAUGCCUGUGAGAAUUCAGAGCAAUAUAUCUGGAGCUAAGAAAAGGGGGUUAGAAUGCAAGCUAUAAAGCCAGAGAGCAAACACAGGGGGAAAAGAAGAGGACUCCAGAUUGAGCCUUGAAAAAGUCCAAUAUUUAGAGGAUAGGCAAAGAAAGGGAUAAAUAAAGAAGACUGAUGAGGAGCACCCAAGUAGGGAGGCAACAUCCUGGAUAGUGCAACAUCAAGGAUGCUAAGAUAGGCAGAGCUGUACAAAACAUGGUGUGGUCAAUUCUGCUAAGACAUUUAGUCAUAUGAAAAAGUUAAAGUCCAUCAGAUUUCCAAACACUGAGAUUCUUGAUACCUGUGUGAGAGCAAGGGUUAUGAAUGAUAGAGGCAGAGGCAAAUGGGUGCAGACUGAAUAGUGAAGGAGGCUUAAGGAUGUGCGAACCGCUUAAGUGGACAACUCAAUUAUAAGUUACAUUUAUGUGAUUCAAACUCUUACCGAGUAUAUGCAAAUGUUUUUCUGGAAACUAAAUGUUAAUAGACCAUAUAAGAAUGAUUGUGUAUAGCUUUAAUUUAUUGAGAAGAACAGCUAUCCUUAUUUGAAAACCACUCUUUAUUUAAAAAUAAACCUCAAAAAUUUAAAGAUCUAUUUACGUUCUAAAAACAGAAAACUGAAAAUUUCAAAACAUCAAUCAUGAAUGCUAUUUUUGCCUAUUUUUGAUGUUGAAAAUUUUCAGAAAAUAGUAGCAUGUUAGAGCGUAGAGGAGUAAAAACAGAAUGACUGUGGAGCAGAGCCACCUGGCUGAUCAGAAGGGCUGGCUCAGACUAUCACGUAUGAGAAAAAUACACUGACUGACUCUUUAAAAAUCUCUUCAUAGUCACUGAGACUACCACAACUAAUACACUGAAUUAAAAAUAGAAUAGUUCUUACUUAAACCAUUUGUUUAUCAUAUAAAGUAUGAAAAUAAUUGAAUGUUUAUUUUUUAAUUCUAGAGCUUAAGAGAUUUAUUUUACCAUGAACUGGGUCAAUAUAUAGUUGGGAAUUGCUACAAUUUUCUAGUGCUGAGGUUCAAGGAGAUGCCUUGGUUCCUAUCCUUUCUAUGACCUCCUCUCCCUCAAGUCUGGUCCCCAUAUUUUUUCCUCAUAAAAACAGCUAUCUUGAGCUGGCUCCUUGUACUGCCAAAAAUUUAACCAACGCAUUGUUUUUAGAAGUAGCCAAGAGAAGGAAAACAGAGAGGCUGCAUUCUUUAAUACUAGUGUUGGCAAAGAAGAAUCCUAAGAGACUAAAUGACAGCAGUUGUGUUGAGGUCUGAAAUUCUUCACACACAUACACACCAGAUGGAGAGCAUGAGAAAAUGACAAGGAACUGAGGUAACACUGAGAAUGAAUUAGCUGAAUUGACCUUCAUGAUACUAAAUUCAUAGUUGCUUCCUUCAAUUUAGUUAACUUGCAUGACAACUUCUUAAUCUAUGCUUCUGGUUUAAACUUUCAUUUAAAUGGAAAGAUGAAACUUUAAAUCUGAACUGCUCCCUCUUAGCCCUAUCUUGUGGAGUUUUUAUUCAAGUAAAGAAACAUCUAAAAGAAACAGACACAGAUAUAGAGAACACACUUGGGAUUGCCAAGGGAGAAGGAAAGUUGGGAGGGAUGGAUUGAGAGUUUGGGAUUAGCAGAGGCAAACUAUUAUAUAUAGGAUGGAUAAACAACGAGGUCCUUACUGUAUGGCAUGGAGAACUACAUUCAAUAUUUUUUAAUAAACAAUAAUGGAAAAGAUAUGAAAAAUAAUAUAUAUAUGUAUAACUGAAUCACUUUGCUGUACAACAGAAAUUAACACAACAUUGUAAAUCAACUAUACUUCAAUAAAAUUUUUAUAAAGACAACAAAAGGCAUAUCUGCAAAUGACUAGAUAAAACAUAAUAACACUAAAAAACUCCUUCGAACAUGACCUCUUCAAAUAAUAUCAAGAAUGUUUAGGAGUUCCUGUCGUGGCGCAGUGGUUAACGAAUCCAACUAGGAACACGAGGUUGCGGGUUCGGUCCCUGCCCUUGCUCAGUGGGUUAACGAUCCGGCGUUGCCGUUAGCUGUGGUGUAGGUUGCAGAUGCGGCUCAGAUCCUGCGUUGCUGUGGCUCUGGCGUAGGCCAGUGGCUACAGCUCCAAUUCGAUCCCUAGCCUGGGACCCUCCAUAUGCCGCGGGAGCGGCCCAAAGAAAUAGC
rnacentral:lncRNA from 1 species